rnacentral:rRNA from 1 species
GAUUAACGCUGGCGGCGUGCAUAACACAUGCAAGUCGAACGAUGAAACUUAGUAGUCUUCUUCGGAAAGACACUAAGCGGAUUAGUGGCGACCGGGUGAGUAACUCGUGAGUAACCUGCCUUACACAAGGGGAUAGCCUUUGGAAACGAAGAAUAAUACCCUAUAACACCAUACAAGCACAUGCUAGAAUGGUCAAAGUGAUAGCGGUGUAAGAUGGACUUGCGUCUGAUUAGCUAGUUGGUGAGAUAAAAGCUCACCAAGGCAACGAUCAGUAGCCGGCUUGAGAGAGUGGACGGCCACAUUGGGACUGAGACACGGCCCAGACUCCUACGGGAGGCAGCAGUGGGGAAUGUUGCACAAUGGGGGAAACCCGGAUGCAGCGACGCCGCGUGAUUUAGAAGGCCGUCGGGUUGUAAAAAUCUUUUGUAUAGGAAGAAAAUGACAGUACUAUACGAAUAAGGUCCGGCUAAUUACGUG